GACAGAGGGUGCAAACGUUGUUCGGAAUUACUGGGCGUAAAGCGCGUGUAGGCGGCUAAGUAAGUCGGGCGUGAAAUCCCACGGCUCAACCGUGGAAGUGCACUCGAAACUGCAUAGCUAGAGUCCUGGAGAGGAAGGUGGAAUGCUUGGUGUAGAGGUGAAAUUCGUAGAUAUCAAGCGGAACACCGGUGGCGAAGGCGGCCUUCUGGACAGUGACUGACGCUGAGACGCGAAAGCCAGGGGAGCGAACGGG
rnacentral:rRNA from 1 species